rnacentral:lncRNA from 1 species
GAACCUGAAAUUUUCAGAGUGCUGAGAGACAGAGCUGCAGGUGGCUCCUGUGUGCCCAAACAGGCAUUUUCAACCCAAUACAUUUGUGGAGGCAUCUUAAUGUGUCUGUGUUGAAAAUGAGAUUCCAAAGGUUUGUUUCCUUCCCUGAGGAACACCUGCUGCAUUUCCUUUCUUUUCUUCCAAUUACCAUCAUUUUCAAGAACAGGACAAAAAGCCUGAUGAGUUUUGUUUUAUGGCAGCUGUGCUUAAGGGACCAACAAGCACUGCAGAGAUUCUUUUCAUGUAAGAAUCCUUGGAAAUAGUAGAGUUAGUUAGAAUAGCAAAAUCCCUCUUCCAAAAAGGCUGCCAAGCUGCUGGGAAUCCUCUGAGAAGGAAACACGUAUUUGCUGAUGUAGUUGCCACUAACUAGAGCAGGCAAUGAAAUCAGCUGCCAAGACAAGAUCUGCUGGAUGCUGGCAAAGCUGUGGCUUUGGGGCUUGGGUUUUUUCAUGAUACAGGAAAGUCGUCAUCCAAAUGCUACAGGAAAGUCAUCUCUGCCUCUCUGCCAGGGCAAAAACUGCCACUGCAGAGUGGAGCUGGAACAAUGGGCUCUGGGAGAGCAGUUCCAGAUGGGAAAGAAGCAGGUGGAGCCUUGUGUUUCCUUUUUCUCCAGGCUAAAUUCCACAUAGCCACAGAAGGGAGCCCACAGCUGCGGCAGCCCGAGCAAUUCUCGCCUUUGCUGCGUGACUUCCUGAGCUGCUGCCUGCAGAAAGGCGAGGCGCAGCGCUGGUCUGCCAAGGAGCUGCUGCAGCAUCAAUUUAUAACAUCGGCCAUGCCUGGGUCCAGCCUGGCACCUCUCAUCGUUGCAGUGAAGAAGUGGAAGGAGGAGGCAGGAAUGCAACAAUUAAUUUAGAAACUGUCUUCUCCAUGACCAACUUAGAGUAGGACUGUAGAGUAGGAUUAUAGAGUAGGAUUGUAGAGUAGGAUUAUAGAGUAGGAUUGUAGUGCAGGAUGGUAGUGUAGGUUUGUAGUGUAGGAUUGUAGAGUAGGAUUUUAAAUAAAAUUUCUCAAAUCUCAACUCCUUUGGAACA